rnacentral:sRNA from 1 species
AUAACAAGAACGUUAGGUAAAAUCAUAAUGCAGCCCAAAUUCCGACAAGCAACCGCCCCGCUGAACUGCGAAAAAACAUUCUCUGCGAUGGCCCGAUUCUUUUGGAACCGGUUCCUCAGCCCCCAGCCCCCCGGGGCCAUCAGGAUCGGGCCUAUUCGCAGAGAUCAAUUUCGGAGUUGCAAAAGCCCGGACCCGGUGUCGGGCUUUUU